rnacentral:rRNA from 1 species
GUAACAUUCUGAAAGAAUGCUAAUACCGCAUGACAUAUCGGAACCACAUGGUUUUGAUAUCAAAGAUUUUAUCGCUCGAAGAUGGACUCGCGUCCGAUUAGUUAGUUGGUGAGGUAACGGCUCACCAAGACCGCGAUCGGUAGCCGGACUGAGAGGUUGAACGGCCACAUUGGGACUGAGACACGGCCCAGACUCCUACGGGAGGCAGCAUG